UUCCGUCGCUGCAGUCGCAAUUCCAUCAGGUCCACUCGCUGGUGUGGGGAACCAAGAGCCCACCGGGAGGAGGUUACUCGCCCUGCCUGUAACCCUGACCGAACCUCGUAGUAGCAGUGCAGAACUGAGCUAGCCUGCACACCUGCCAGGUGUGAGGGGACACUGCUAUAGAGAGGCAUGGAGCUGCUGUAGUGGGUCCAGAGGAGGGCUAUAAAGAUGAUGAGGAGACUGGAGCAUAUCUCUUAUGAGGAAAGGCUGAGGGAGCUGUGUCUCUUUAGCCUUGAGAAGAGGCACCUGGGAGGGGGCCUCAUCAACAUCUAUCAGUCUCUGAAGGGAAGGUGUCAAGAGGAUGGAACCAGGCUCUUCUCAGUGGUGCUGAGCACUAGGACAAGAGGCAAUGGCAAGAAAAUGACACACAGGAAAUUCCACCUGAAUAUGAGGAAGAACUUCACUGUGCAGAUUUUGGCAUUGACUUGAGGGGGAGGGAGCUGAUGGAUAGAAGGAAGGUUGGAGAGAAAACACCUUCAUGCCAUGAAAUUACAGAAAAACAGAUAAAAGUCCCCUCUUCAGAAGGUGUCGAGGAGUUCACUACAUUGAUCUUGCUUGUGUCAGGUAAAGAUGGAAUGACAAAAAGGAACAAUUUUUUAAAGUCAAUGGAAAAAUACCUCCAGGACUCUGAGGGAACACCCAGGAAAUGUCAAGACAUCCAGUAAUGAGGAUAUGGUAAAAGUUUCCUGCAAUUACACAUGACCUGGACUGGAACUGCAGCUAAUUAAAACUACCACACUAUGAAAGAGAAUAAUAG